UGUCCCAUUUGACUACCACAUUGUCUCCUGAUAAUAGAUUAUGGUGGCUAUGCUUAUGGGAUAGAUUAAAACAGUGCCGUGAUCUGAAGAGAGAGGGCUUUUCAGUGACCUCCCUCUAUAUGAAAUGGCAGGACAGUAAACC
rnacentral:snoRNA from 1 species